GUGUGUGUGUGUGUGUGUGUGUGUGUGUGUGUGUGUGUGUGCGUGUGUGGAUCCAACAGAGGCAACCGAGCCGAGACAUUCCCGCCGGUCCUCUUUUUUUCUUUGGAGUCGCCUCUGGGGGCGCACAAACAGGCGCAAAAAGAGGGAGCGCGCGAGCAGCAGCAACAACAACAACAAAAAAGAGAUCACGGCGACGAGCGGGCGGACGGAUCAAGAAUCUCGGCGAGUUCGGCGCACAGAGCGGCGUGGCUCAAGAAAGAGUCGGGAUCGAUCCCUAGGAGACGCGCCGCCGAGCGCGUAUUGGCUCGAUCAGUGUCUGCGGCGUCGGCGGCGCAUCCACGAGCGGCCACAUACGGCGCGACAAAGGCGUCCACCUCGGCGGGAAGCGACCCGGUACCGACGGGACCACGGUAGGCGCGCGCGGCCAAGCCCAUCAGGCCCGCGUUGCCAUUGUCUGCAGCAAGGCGGCGCAUGAUGCGCGCCGAUGCAUCGACGGCGCGCGCCUUGGCCGCCGCGAGAAAAUCGUUUAUAUCGUAGGCGCCGGCAUAGGCGUACGACUUUAAGCCGGACGCGGGCGCCGAGAGCACGGCCCGGCGCUGCGGCAUCUGGUCGCGUGUCAGCACUCUGGCGCCGCGCGCAUCAGACACCAAUGCGCCGGGCUCCAUCGGGUGCAGUCCGACGCGCUCGGCCUGGCCCGACUGCGCAGCGGCCAAGAGAUCGGCCAGCACGCCGCGCACAGCCCACGCGGGUAUACUGUAAGACUCGCCAGCCGGCGCGUUGCCCUCUAUGACGAGCGCGGCCGUUGCGUCGCCCUCGCCGUCGUUGGGAUAGCGCGCAAACACCUGGCCGCCUUGCAGGGCCUCGGCGACGGGUCGGCGCGGGUUCACAGAGACCAUGACGACGACGGGCGCCAUCACCUCGCGGCGGGACAGAGCACCAAAAGUGCGCGGUCCCGCCAGUACGGGAUGGGAUGGCACGCGCGGGAGGUCGCCUGUGUAGACACCCGAUUGUGCGUGCGCAUCGACGAGGCUGGUAAUGUGCGCAUCGAUCUCGCCGCUCGUGACCAAUUCUGCGCGCCCAAAGAUUGAGCCAAGGCGACACUCGUCGACGAUGGCCCGGUGCGGAUCGGGUUCGGGCGCGUGAUCCAGAAAAUCCAGUCGAGCCUGCCUGAUGUAGGCCUCAAAGGAGGGCCGCGUGGGCGGCCAGUACGGCGUCAGGGUGCCGUCGGGAUAACGGUAGAGCGGAUCAAACAGCGGGUCGGCCAGCGUGCCGGCGGGCACCGGUGCGUCGGCCGACUGCCGCGGCGGCGGCAGGCGCGCCUGUGCGAGGAGGCGACUUGCGGCGAGCGCCUCCAAAAACGACAGGGCGCUGGUCAUCGCCAUGGCUGUCGCCCACAUUCCGCGAAAGUCGGGAUAGUCCAUCUCUGGGUCAGGACACGGACCGCGCGUCAGCGCGAGGGCGAGGGCCACGGCACGCGGGUCGUUGUCGGCUUCCGCCUGCAAGCGUCGCCAUGCCGACAUAAACGUGGCAAGACCCUGGGGCGUGGCGAAUCCAUUCCGGGCUGCCCACACGCGCACGUCGGUCCACGAGGGCGAUCCCUGUUCCAUGAUGGGCGGCGGCCCGCCAAAGGGUCCGUCCGCCUCUGGCGCUAUCUGGUUCGGCGAUGCCGGCGUGUGCACGCCCAUGCCGGUUUCCUCGAUUGCACGCCCCUUUGUGCCCCUCUGGCGUCCCUCUGCGCCGAUGGUGGACUGGGCGCAAGCCAGACUCUCUUUUCUCUCCCACACGGCACAGACGCUCCAAAGAAGGCUGUGCGGGCGAUGCUUGCUCAAAUGUUGGUCGACCAACGGUCGGAUGGGGGCCUUGGUCACGUGGGUCGGCGCGGCCAGCCCGCCUGCGGUUUGGGGUUCCGUUGGAAGAAACAAACACCCAAUAAAAAAAAGGAGGAGAAAGACCAAACAACACACGCGAGAAACCUGCACGAAUCGACCUCAUUUUUGGCUGUCUUGGCCCCACCGAAAAUACAAACUCCCGUCUGGGUGCGAC
rnacentral:lncRNA from 1 species